rnacentral:rRNA from 1 species
GACGAACGCUGGCGGCGUGCCUAAUACAUGCAAGUAGGACGCAGUUGCGAACGGGUGAGUAACGCGUAGGUAACUGCCUAUUAGAGGGGGAUAACUAUUGGAAACGAUAGCUAAUACCGCAUACUAGUAGAUGGACCUGCGUUGUAUUAGCUAGUAGGUAGGGUAAUGGCCUAACUAGGCGACGAUACAUAGCCGAGUGUGGAUGUGUACCGGCCCAACGGGGACUGGGUAACGGCCCAGACUCCUACGGGAGGCAGCAGUUGGGAAGUUUCGGCAAGGGGGGGAACCCUUACCGAGCAACGCCGCGGGAGUGAAGAAGGUUUUCGGAUCGUAAAGCUCUUUUGUGAAGGAAGCGGUACUUAACCAGAAAGGGACGGCUAACUACGUGCCAGCAGCCGCGGUAAUAC